UAGAGUUUGAUCCAUGGCUCAGGAUGAACGCUGGCGGCGUGCCUAAUACAUGCAAGUCGAGCGAAUGGAUUAAGAGCUUGCUCUUAUGAAGUUAGCGGCGGACGGGUGAGUAACACGUGGGUAACCUGCCCAUAAGACUGGGAUAACUCCGGGAAACCGGGGCUAAUACCGGAUAACAUUUUGAACCGCAUGGUUCGAAAUUGAAAGGCGGCUUCGGCUGUCACUUAUGGAUGGACCCGCGUCGCAUUAGCUAGUUGGUGAGGUAACGGCUCACCAAGGCAACGAUGCGUAGCCGACCUGAGAGGGUGAUCGGCCACACUGGGACUGAGACACGGCCCAGACUCCUACGGGAGGCAGCAGUAGGGAAUCUUCCGCAAUGGACGAAAGUCUGACGGAGCAACGCCGCGUGAGUGAUGAAGGCUUUCGGGUCGUAAAACUCUGUUGUUAGGGAAGAACAAGUGCUAG
rnacentral:rRNA from 1 species